rnacentral:sRNA from 1 species
AUUCAGAGUCGAAGUUCCGAAUGGUCAUUAACGCUGUAUAGGGAACGAAAGAUAUAAUGAAUAAAACCGUCACUGAGAAUAACAUCAUGGUGGUCUUGGCCUUCCGGAAGUGGUCAUUGCCAAGGGAUAACGUUCUACGACUUCCGCUUAUGCUGGAAACGCUGGACAACUUUUGACGACUCUGGGCAAAGAGUUUCCUCCUAGCAGCGACUGUCAGACAUUCCUCCGAGAAGAAGCGCUUUAUUGGUUUAGAACUGGACUCUUGGCUGGGCAAUUUCCUGGUGUCGUUUCUGGAACUCAUUUCUACUAAAGACAUUUUACGAAAAUUGACAGCCAAUUUGCUCUUUUCUUUUGACAUUGUUUUGAAACCAUUUUGGUUUGCAGGCAAUUCAUCGGACGUCUUACGGAAUUCGUUCCCCGAGUACAGGUUCGCCUUUGACAUUUUUCGAAGUUCUCUGCCAGAGUUUUUGACGUGAUACAAGAUUAUUCCGUAUACAACAAGGAAGAAUGCAUCCAGCACAGAGUUCCCUGCCAUGAUGAAAAACACAAAAACAGAGUGGUCCAGUCGAACGCUAGGUGUCUCUGCAUACAGACACAGUUUAGCAUUAACACUUUUAUUUCGGUCCACUGGUAUUUGCAUAUUAGUUGUUCCGUAAAUGAACAAGGAUGGCCACGCCACCAUUAAAGAGGCCACCAUUGACACUAUCACGAUCUUUUUGACUGUCGAUAUAGAGAGUUGUAGUUUAAAUGGGUGGCAAAUACGUUGCAAUCGGUCCACGGCAAUUCCCAUUAAUAUCAAAGAGGAGCCGUCAUUGGUCCAGAAAGUGAAAAAUCGAGAAAUUUUGCACAGAUACGGCAAAUCCGUCUUGUAAAUGUUUGAUAUAAAGUAGAUUUCCACCGGCAUGGUGAAUAAACAGUUGAACAAAUCGUUAAAAGCAAGAGCAAGGAUAAAGAUUCUGCUGGUGGACUUCUUCCAUCUUUUCAUGUAAACUACGAUAAUAAGAACAUUUCCUGGUAUUCCGAUCAUAAUCAUCGAAAUUGUCAACACUAGACUUGGAAUGAAGUUAUCUUUUAUGGCGUUGUCGUUCAAUCGUUGAAGUAGGGUUGAGAAAUAUUUGUCCGUUUCGUUAAAAGACAAUAAAGACACAUUCAUUUUUUAAAACAGGAAAAAUCUACUCACUUUAAACUACGGACUUUGUCAGCAAAUUUCACUUUUAGAAGGUAUCCAAAUCCUGAGGGAAGCAAGUUAUCAAUAGCAAAGCAACCCAAUAAAAGGGAAAAGCAUUGUUGGGGUUACCUCUGAUACGUAGCUGAAUGAGCCGCACGCAAUGUUUGUUAGAAGGUUAAGUGUUAAACGUCAAGAUUACAUGUAAAACAAAGAAAGAGCGACGACGAGAAGGGGGGGGGGGGGGGUGGUGAACUCUCGUGAAAUGGGAGAACGGAAACGUCACUUAGAGUUCCUCACUCACACAAACCACAGCCACAGGACAAUGACAUAACUCACAACUUUACUGUUGGCCAAAAAAAUCAUAUUAAACAGACAUUACAUGU